AGAGUUUGAUCCUGGCUCAGAACGAACGCUGGCGGCAGGCUUAACACAUGCAAGUCGAACGCUCAUCUUCGGAUGGGAGUGGCAGACGGGUGAGUAACGCGUGGGAACGUACCCUUUGGUUCGGAAUAACCCAGGGAAACUUGGGCUAAUACCGGAUGCGCCGGAAACGGGAAAGGUUUACCGCCGAAGGAUCGGCCCGCGUCGGAUUAGCUAGUUGGUGGGGUAACGGCCUACCAAGGCGACGAUCCGUAGCUGGUCUGAGAGGAUGAUCAGCCACACUGGGACUGAGACACGGCCCAGACUCCUACGGGAGGCAGCAGUGGGGAAUAUUGGUCAAUGGGCGCAAGCCUGAACCAGCCAUGCCGCGUGAGUGAAGAAGGCCUUAGGGUUGUAAAGCUCUUUCAGUGGGGACGAUAAUGACGGUACCCGCAGAAGAAGCCCCGGCUAACUUCGUGCCAGCAGCCGCGGUAAUACGAAGGGGGCUAGCGUUGUUCGGAAUUACUGGGCGUAAAGCGCGCGUAGGCGGGCAUUUAAGUCAGGGGUGAAAUCCCAGGGCUCAACCCUGGAACUGCCUUUGAUACUGGAUGCCUGGAGUUCGGGAGAGGUGAGUGGAAUUCCGAGUGUAGAGGUGAAAUUCGUAGAUAUUCGGAGGAACACCAGAAGCGAAGGCGGCUCACUGGCCCGAUACUGACGCUGAGACGCGAAAGCUAGGGGAGCGAACAGGAUUAGAUACCCCGGUAGUCC
rnacentral:rRNA from 2 species